rnacentral:rRNA from 1 species
UACCUACGGGGGGCAGCAGUGGGGAAUAUUGCACAAUGGGGGAAACCCUGAUGCAGCAACGCCGCGUGAGUGAAGAAGGUUUUCGGAUUGUAAAGCUCUGUUAGCAGGGAAGAGGAAGGACGGUACCUGCAGAGGAAGCCACGGCUAACUACGUGCCAGCAGCCGCGGUAAUACGUAGGGGGCAAGCGUUAUCCGGAUUUACUGGGUGUAAAGGGAGCGUAGACGGCAGAGCAAGUCUGAAGUGAAAGCCCGCGGCCCAACUGCGGGACUGCUUUGGAAACUGCCCGGCUAGAGUGCUGGAGAGG